rnacentral:rRNA from 1 species
AUACGGAGGGAGCGAGCGUUAAUCGGAAUUACUGGGCGUAAAGCGCGCGUAGGCGGCUUUGUAAGUCGGAUGUGAAAGCCCUGGGCUCAACCUGGGAAUGGCAUUCGAUACUGCAGAGCUAGAGUAUGGUAGAGGGAAGUGGAAUUUCCGGUGUAGCGGUGAAAUGCGUAGAUAUCGGAAGGAACACCAGUGGCGAAGGCGACUUCCUGGGCCAAUACUGACGCUGAGGUGCGAAAGCGUGGGGAGCAAACAGGAUUAGAUACCCCGGUAGUCC